UACGUAGGGGGCAAGCGUUGUCCGGAAUCAUUGGGCGUAAAGCGCGUGUAGGCGGCUCGAUAAGUCUGCUGUGAAAGUCCAGGCUCAACCCUGGGAUGCCGGUGGAUACUGUCGAGCUCGAGUCCGGAAGAGGCGAGUGGAAUUCCUGGUGUAGCGGUGAAAUGCGCAGAGAUCCGGAAGAACACCGGUGGCGAAGGCGGCCGCUGGGCAGGUUGCUGACACUGAGGCGCGACAAGCGUG
rnacentral:rRNA from 1 species